rnacentral:lncRNA from 13 species
AUUUUCAGCAUUUUUUCAUUGAUUGUUUCUCAUCUUCAUGAGUUUAUCUUGAUUCAAACUUUGAGGCUGCAAACCUUUGGAUGGGGUUUUUGUGGUGAGUUUUUCAUUGAUACUAUUGUUGGCUUUGCUUGUUUGUUUUUCUUUAUAACAGUCAGAUUCCUCUUUUGUAGGGCUGCUGCUGUUUGCUGGAGGUUCACCCUAGACCCUAUUCACCUGCAUCCCUUCCACACCUGGAGGUGUCACAACAGCAAAGAUGGUUGCCUGCUCCUUCCUCUGGAAGGUCUGUCUCAGAAGGGCACCAACCAGAUGCCAGCAAGGAUGCUCAUGUGUAAAGUCACUGGCCUGCUUCCUCAUCUGCAAAAGGUGAUUCUCAAGUCUGAAAUAUCAAUAGAAUGGUGGGAGAGAGGGAAAUGCAGUAGCAGAAAAAUGAAGAAAGGUCAAGACUUCUUUUGUCCUCUCAUCCUAACUUUCAAAUCACCCCAUCUUUGUCCUAAACUCAGAGUCACUGAUAUGGUUUGGCUGUGUCCCCUACUCAAAUCUUACCCUGAAUUGUAAUAAUCACCAUGUGUCAAGGGCAGGGUCAGGUGUAGAUAAUAAUGGGGAUGGUUUCCCCCAUACUAUUCAGGUGGUAGUGAAUAAGUCUCACGAGUUCCUAUGGUUUUAUAAAUGGCAGUUCCCCUGCACAAGCUCUUGUCUGCCACCCAUGUAAGAUGUGCUUUUUCCCUUGCCUUCUGCCAUGAUUGUGAGGUUUCCCCAGCCAUGUGGAACUGUGAGUCCAUUAAAACUCUUCCUUUUAUAAAUUACCCAGUCUCAGGUAUGUCUUCAUUAGCAGCUUGAGAACAAACUAAUACAGCCACUCCCUCCGCAGAGCUCAAGACUCUCAGCUGAGACUUUGACCUCACCUUUAGUUCAUCAUCAGUCUUAUUUUUCCCCCAUUAAACAGUGAAUCUAGUUUCUCAAUUAUUGUGUAUUUGGCAGUUGAUCGGGUCUCAAAAACAUAGAAACAAUGCAGGGGGCCUGUGAGAGUGGGACGACCCAUUUGGCUUGAGGUUAAAGUUCUGGUUGGGGUGGGCAGGAAGUGGAGGGGGGAAACAAAGCAACCCUUUGAGAUGGAGUAGGGAUUAAUGUAACUUGGGUUACUUUUUGUUCUUUGUUUUUUCUUUCUCUUUUUUCCUCCUCCUUCUUUUUUUUUUUUUUUUUUUUUUUUUGAGACAGUGUCUUGCUCUUGGUCACUCAGUCUGGACUGCAGUGGCAUGAUUUUGGCUCACUGUAACCUCAACCUUCUGGGCUCAAGCAAUCCUCCCACUUCAGCCUCCUGAGGAUCUGGGACCACAGAUGCCUGCCACCAUGCCCGGCUAAUUUUCUGAUUUUUUUUUUUUUUUUUUUUUCGAGAGAGACAGGGGUCUUCCUGGGUUGUCUAGACUAGUUUGAACUUCUGGGCUCAAGCAAUACCGUUCAGCUGGGAUGCUGACAGGCGUCACCCAGAUGGACUAUAAUAUGGGUUAACUUUAACGGCAGCUAAAUGUUAACACACUCUGUGCAAGGACUUUGCAUC